GAUGAACGCUGGCGGCGUGCUUAACACAUGCAAGUCGAACGAAGCACCUUAUUCUGAUUUCUUCGGAAUGAAAAAUUUGGUGACUGAGUGGCGGACGGGUGAGUAACGCGUGGGUAACCUGCCUCAUACAGGGGGAUAACAGUUAGAAAUGACUGCUAAUACCGCAUAAGACCACAGCACCGCAUGGUGCAGGGGGAAAAACUCCGGUGGUAGGAGAUGGACCGGCGUCUGAUUAGGUAGUUGGUGGGGUAACGGCCUACCAAGCCGACGAUCAGUAGCCGACCUGAGAGGGUGACCGGCCACAUUGGGACUGAGACACGGCCCAAACUCCUACGGGAGGCAGCAGUGGGGAAUAUUGCACAAUGGGGGAAACCCUGAUGCAGCGACGCCGCGUGAGCGAUGAAGUAUUUCGGUAUGUAAAGCUCUAUCAGCAGGGAAGAAAAUGACGGUACCUGACUAAGAAGCACCGGCUAAAUACGUGCCAGCCGCCGCCGUAA
rnacentral:rRNA from 1 species